rnacentral:ncRNA from 5 species
GUAGAGGAGAUGGCGCAGGGGA